UUUGUAAAAGCCCACCGCAACCAAAUAUCUCUCUCUCAAAUGCAAUCCCUAAAAUCGCCUCCAAAUUUUUCCGAUCCCUAAAAUCGCCAUGGCCAAAACCUCGUCGGCGUUUUCGGAUCGGAUCGCAUCUCUAAGCUCCUCUCUGAUCUGCAAUCUCGUUGAUUUCGUCGCCGAGCUACUCCCUGGUUUCUAGGGUUUGCCGUUCUCUCAAAUCUCCUCUCAGAUCUCAUCUUCGAGCUACUAAUCUCGGCGUCAUGCUACUCUCGUUGCCAUUCCAGUCUUGUUCGUCGUCGUCAAGCUACUAAUCUCGUCGUCAAGGUGCUGCGGAUAACAUCGAUUGCUGCAUUAAUCACGAUCCAUUGCUCUAGCUCGAUCCCUGAGCAUUCCCAUGCUUGGCUACCUCAUUUCCGUUGCUCAAGGAUGAGGGACCUGUAUAUACAUGUGUUGGUUGAAGAAACAAAAGGAUGUCCUAUUUCCUGCUUUACAAGAGACUGGGGAAAAUGUUAUCUGGACUUCUAGGCUUAUUUUUGGAAAAGGAGAGGUAUUUGUUCUUUUCCCCCCUAUUUUCUUUGUGUUCAAUUGCGCAUUGCCAUCAUUCAGUUUUAGAAUAGGAAAAUGUUAUCUGGACUUCUAGGCUUAAUGAAACUGUCUGUUAUAUCCUCCUCAGAAUCCUAAAACAGCCAUGGAUGAAUCAUGUUGGGAAGUUAGUGGACGUUAUCGUUCCAAAGG